AAAUACAUCUAUGUGAGCACACCAAUGAACUGGACCAAUGCUCAGAGGUACUGCAGGGAGCGCUACACAGACCUGGCCAGUAUGAGGAAUGAAUCUGAGUGGAACGAAAUGAAGACGCUGGUGAAGAAACAUGCAUGGAUGGGCCUGUACAGAGUGGCGUGGAAGUGGUCUGAUGCUCAGAUCAUGGACAUCACUUCAUUCCAAAAAUGGAGCACGAAACAGCCCACGAAAAUCAAUCAUCACUGUGUGACCACGACUCACAGUGGAUGGAGUGCACGGCCUUGUAGCGACAAAUAUGCUUUUGUCUGCAGGGUGAGGAAACAGGUGAGACUGAAGGUGAUGCUGAAAACAUCAGACUCCUCUGUGGACCUGGAAGACAUGCAGGAUGCUAUCUUGGAGCAGUUCAACCAGAGACUGAAGGACCAUGGCAGGAGUGAACAUGUCAAGCUGAAGUGGAUGAAGCAGCCUGAUGGAAAGAUCUUUCAAUUAAAAGAAAGUGAGGAGAAGAAAAAAGAAAAAUGAGACAAAUGAAAAAAGCUGCUUUCACAAACAAUGUUAAUUUCAUGCCUCAAACAGAAUUGAGGAUGUUAUUAGUGAUUUAGAAAGAAUGUUGGCCUAAAUGUUAGAAGGAUCUUUACCCUGGUGGCUCCUGAUGAGAAGCAGAAGAUCUCUAAAAUAUCCAAGUGUCUUCAAUUCAGAUUUCUUUUUUGGCUUUUUUUCAAAAUUAUUAUAAGUGAACUCUCUUUCACUUAAAUGUUGGUAAUUUUAAGUGAAAGCACAUUAAACAUUACUUAAUAUUUAUUGCUGUCAAAUAGUUUGAGAUGCUGUUUAAUAUUAACUGCUUAUAUAUCUUUUACUGGUUCAUAUAAUUAUCAAACUGUUUCUUAAUUUGGGCUACACAGUAGAGUAGUGGUUAGCACUUUCACCUUGCAUCAAGAAGAUCCCCGGUUCAAAUCCCGGCCUGGGAUCUUUCUGCAUGGAGUUUGCGUGUGUGGGCUUUCUCAGUGUGUUUUGCCUCAGUCCAAAACAUGCUGAGGUUAAUUGAGUACUCUAAAUUGCCCGUAGGUGUGAAUGUGAGUGUGAUUGUCUAUCUGUAUAUGUAGCCCUGUGACAGACUGGUGACCUGUCCAGGGUGUCCCCUGCCUUCACCCGAGUCAGCUGGGAUAGGCUCCAGCACCCCCCGUGACCCUAGUGAGGAUAAAGCGGUGUAUAGAGAAUGGAUGGAUGUUUCUUAAUUUUACUGCUAUGUAAACUUAUGUUUUGAUUGUGAUUCCUUUUUCUGUUAUUAGAAACUUGUAAUUGUGUGAUUCUUCUUUUUCAUUUAUAAGGUAAAUGUGUUCACUUGCAGCAUGAAUCUGCUCUGAUGGUAACUGACUCCAGCAGAUGAUUGGUAAACAGAGGUGGGAUAUCUUCAGUGAUAUGUACAAUAAUAAAUCAGCAACAUUACAUUACAUACACUAUUACAUACUGUAUGCUAUCAUUGUAAAAACAUCAAUUUAGGUUAUGUUCUUUGGUAUUAAGAGCUGUUUUUGGUUGUUUAUUUGUGCUAAAACUAAUUUUCAGAGCUCACUUUAAAGGCCCACUGAAACCAUACUGUUAAUUUUCAAAACCAGACUUAAAUCAGAUUUUAUAAUAAUUCUUAUUUUUUAGGUUUUCGCAGUGUUACAUUAGUUGGUCAAUUUCAAAUCAGCCUCAGUUAUUUAUCUUGUUCAAUCAGAGCUUAAAAUAAGAGUUCAAACUUUUUACUCAAAAUGUUGAGUUGACUUGACACAAAAAACUAAACACUUUGGGAUUCAUUUAGUAUGAACUGAAAUUCUUGUGAAAGUGAUCUAUUUUCAUGUUUGACUUCAGUUACACAGUGGAAAUUUGAAAUGUGUCUCAGAUUAGUCAGAUUUCAUUUCUAUGUUGCUGUAAAACAUUAAAACUAUGACGAUGAAAAAUCCAACAGAAAAUGCCAAUUACAAGGAUGUACAGUUUGGAAAGUCUAAGUUACUUUGACAACAAUUAUGUAAAGGUAGCUGACUAGGAGAUUUAAAUGGAAUUCAGCCUGAAGAAAGUUAAAUAACCUGAAUAAAGACGGACAAA